GAUUUUCAUCCGACGGUUUAAACGACUGGCGGAGCUGAGUUAGGUGUACUUAAAAGAGUGUAAUUUACGAAUUUCGAAAAGUACACUAAAGUCAUGAACCACAACAAUACUGCUACAGAGUUCUAGCAAAAUGGUGAAAGUGCAAACAAUUAUUCCAGCACAACUUGUUUAUAUAUAAAGGAAGUAUUUCAAUAUUUUGCCUGUAAUACGAGUAAAUACCAAGGGGAAAAAAUAAAAAAUAAAAAUAAAAAAUAACAAACAAACAAACUUCAGAGUGAGGAGCAGAGUCUAGGGUACUGAGUUUAGAAUAUAGCAAAAAUGUAUGGUAAAAGACAUUGUGUAUAUACAGAGAAUUUCCAUAUGUUUUUGGACACAUAGUGAUGCUAGGACACUAGCAGCUAUACACAUUAUAAUUACUUAUUAUACCACAUUCACAACCUUUUUUGUCAAAUACAAGGUGCUUAAGAAUGAUGUUUUAUUGUAUAUCCUCAAUUUAUUAUUUUUUACGAUCAUAUUUUCUGCAUCUAGACAAAGCAUUUACAGCUUUACCAGCUCACCUCUUCUUCUCUGCUGCUUGUCUUCUGGUGAUGUUCUUCCCUAACAUCCGUCUACAACCCCAUCUCUUCCAAUCAGCUCCCUCUGGCCGUAAUCAGCGAUAUUUACCUUCUAGACUUGAUGGAUCCGUCUGGGUUUGUUCAGGAAAUCUCUUCCAAGGUCAGCAGAGUGGUGGUUUCGGAUCACUACAAGACCGCAGUAGAUUGCAGUGAGAGUUCUUGUUCAGUUGGUGAGAAUGCGGAGAGGGUUAUUGACAUCCGGAGGAGUGGAGCUACUGUUGUUUUUUAUUAUUUCAAGGAAAGAGCUGGUAGUGGUCUAAAAGAUUUGAAUUUUGUUUCGAUGAGGGUUUGAUCUUUGAAUCCAUCUUCUUUCAAGCGGGUAAUUUGUUUUUAUCGGUUUAUUGAUUUUUUAUUUUAUUUUAUUUUAUUUUUUAAAGUUGUAAAGCUACAAAAUUCUCUCUUUAUUUGGGUGUAUAAGGCUUUUGCAUUUGCUUUUUUUGAAUUUGGAGGAUGUAAUUAGUCAAGGAUUAACCGGCUUAUCCUAGAAGCAGGAAUGAUUCUCUCGAUCAAUCAUAUGAGAUUGCUCUUGUGGCUGGAGCAUUUGGAGAUUGCCUGGUAUAGUCAAUGCUAUUAAAGCUGAUUCUGUAUUGGAGUUGAGGAGUGAACUUGGACAUAAAUUAGCCAACAAAAGCUGUAAUCUAAAGUUGAGGCGUUGAGGCUCAGCAGACAGAACUAUGAAAUUCUAGGAUCUUGAAACCUUCGAACUGAUUGGAUAUACAAGCCUCAGAGUCACCGCAUUCGACGUCUACUUGGUGAGCGAGCAGGUCUGCAGCCGAAGAAAGCUUGAGAGAGAGAAGAGAAAGAGAGAGAGAGUAGGUCUGCAGCUGGUGUUCUUUUUUAUAUUUUUUAUCAUUAAAGAAUGUUGCACUCAACAUGUUCUAUGGUGCAAUACAUUGUUAAAAAAUAAUUGUAAAUUUGGAUGAUUUGUGAAAGAAAAAUUUCAAUGCAAUUUUGAUGAUAAUUAAAAAGAUCCUCACCUUAAAAGCAUA